GGAGGCAGCAGUAGGGAAUCUUCCACAAUGGGCGAAAGCCUGAUGGAGCAACGCCGCGUGGGUGAAGAAGGUCUUCGGAUCGUAAAACCCUGUUGUUAGAGAAGAAAGUGCGUGAGAGUAACUGUUCACGUUUCGACGGUAUCUAACCAGAAAGCCACGGCUAACUACGUGCCAGCAGCCGCGGUAAUACGUAGGUGGCAAGCGUUAUCCGGAUUUAUUGGGCGUAAAGGGAACGCAGGCGGUCUUUUAAGUCUGAUGUGAAAGCCUUCGGCUUAACCGAAGUAGUGCAUUGGAAACUGGGAGACUUGAGUGCAGAAGAGGAGAGUGGAACUCCAUGUGUAGCGGUGAAAUGCGUAGAUAUAUGGAAGAACACCAGUGGCGAAAGCGGCUCUCUGGUCUGUAACUGACGCUGAGGUUCGAAAGCGUGGGUAGCAAACAGGAUUAGAUACCCUGGUAGUCCACGCCGUAAACGAUGAAUGCUAAGUG
rnacentral:rRNA from 1 species